GAAGAGGAUAAUGGACUGUGAAG
rnacentral:piRNA from 1 species